GACGGAGGGUGCUAGCGUUGUUCGGAAUUACUGGGCGUAAAGGGCGCGUAGGCGGCUUCGACAGUCGGGUGUGAAAGCCCGGGGCUCAACCCCGGAACGGCACCCGAUACUCCGAGGCUCGAGACCGGGAGAGGAGGGUGGAAUACCCAGUGUAGGAGGUGAAAUUCGUAGAUAUUGGGUGGAACACCGGUGGCGAAAGCGGCUCUCUGGCCCGGUUCUGGACGCUGACGGGCUGCGAAAAGCGUGGGGGAGCAAACAGGG
rnacentral:rRNA from 1 species